CUGUAAGCCUGCGAAGGUGGCCUGUGAGGGCUGCUGGAGGUAUCAGAAGUGCGAAUGCUGACAUAAGUAACGAUAAAGCGGGUGAAAAGCCCGCUCGCCGGAAGACCAAGGGUUCCUGUCCAACGUUAAUCGGGGCAGGGUGAGUCGACCCCUAAGGCGAGGCCGAAAGGCGUAGUCGAUGGGAAACAGGUUAAUAUUCCUGUACUUGGUGUUACUGCGAAGGGGGGACGGAGAAGGCUAUGUUAGCCGGGCGACGGUUGUCCCGGUUUAAGCAUGUAGGCGGAGGUUCCAGGUAAAUCCGGUACCUUUUAACGCUGAGGUGUGAUGACGAGGCACUACGGUGCUGAAGUAACAAAUGCCCUGCUUCCAGGAAAAGCCUCUAAGCAUCAGGUAACAUUAAAUCGUACCCCAAACCGACACAGGUGGUCAGGUAGAGAAUACCAAGGCGCUUGAGAGAACUCGGGUGAAGGAACUAGGCAAAAUGGUGCCGUAACUUCGGGAGAAGGCACGCUGGUG
rnacentral:rRNA from 1 species